GAUCAUGGCUCAGGACGAACGCUGGCGGCGCGCCUAACACAUGCAAGUCGAACGGAGAUUACAGGCGGAAGUUUUUCGGAUGGAAGCUUGUAAACUUAGUGGCGGACGGGUGAGUAACACGUGAGCAACCUGCCUAUCAGGAGGGGGAUAACGAUUGGAAACGAUCGCUAAUACCGCAUGACAUAGCGGGAACCGCAUGGUUCUGUUAUCAAAGAUUUUAUCGCUGAUAGAUGGG
rnacentral:rRNA from 1 species